GUCUAUGGCCAUACCAUCCUGAACACACCCAAUCUUACCUGAUCUCAGAAGCUAAGCAGCAUCGGGCCUGGUUUGUACUUGGAUGGAGAAUGGACAGGGACGUCCAGCUCAGCUGCCCACA
rnacentral:rRNA from 1 species